rnacentral:lncRNA from 1 species
AAAAAGUCCCCAAUAUAUUUUCAUUUUUAGAAAUCCCCACUUUAGACUUAAAAUGAUCUGCUUCUAUGAGGAUUUUUGAUAUGAUACAUUAAUCAAACUUAACUAUGUGCCCCUUAAGAAUAUUGUCAGUUCUAUCAAUCUUCAUAGCUCACCCAGUGCUAGGUGAGUGUUUUGAACACGGAAUGUGUUUGUGCUUCAGGCAUUCUGUCUCUAAGGAUGGAAUGGAAAACCCUUCCCUUUCAAGCUUUACAGGUACGUUGUGUCAAGUGGAGAAGAUCAGUUCUGGUUAGCAGCUUUAUUGCCACAGAAAGGACACUGGCAGAUACUUCUCAUAGCUCUAGUCAUGCUGAAUUCCCAGAAAGGGGUGUCAGAAUGAAUUGCUCUAAGCUCUUCUCCCUGGUAGAAGAACCUGUGACUUCUCUUGGAGAUCUCUUCAAUUUUCGGUUGAGGGGUACAUGUGCAGGUUUGUUAUAUAGGAAGCUGAUGCUUACAACAAUGGAGAUUAGCAAUACCUGGACAGAGUUGAGCUUCAAAGGAUACUGAGAAAUGGCUAAAGCAGAUGAUAAAGAAAAAAUGAGGAAAUGCUGUGAAGAACUAAUAGAACGUUUCAGAAGCAGAACAAGUCGAGAGCAGUGAUGACCCUUUUCUUCCUGCUAGUACCUCCUGUCUGUCUGGCUGAACUCACCAUCAGAUGAUGUCUUGAACCUCACCUAGAUGGGCUGGUGGUGUGUGGCCAGGUUAAGAGCACCAACAGGAGUAAGAAAGUGACCUGCCUGGUUUUACCGUGUGCACUAGGGGAGGGGUUGAAAGCUUUCGGUUGAUACAUCACCUCUGGGAGUUGAAGAAGAAUGCAAUUAAGAGAGCUAAAGAAGUCAGUAUAGAAUCUGAAACUCAGAGGUCAACUGAUGUGUCAAAGAUACCUCCACAAAUCAGUACCUUGAUUAAAACUAAAAUUGGAGUCAUCUUCAUAUCUUCAUCUUUCUCCCUCUUCAUUAGGACCGAUUGUAGUCUGUUUCCCUCUCACUCACUUGCAAUCUUUAUUGCUUUAGUGUUGCAUUUGAUUUUUAUCUUUGUUUUUGUUUUAAAUACUGUCAUUAAAGUCAUAGAAAAAUCUAAAGUAAAACUGGUUGAAUAAAAAUUUUAAAAUCGACUCUAAUGUAAUAAACCAGACAAAAAUGAUACUUUACAUGUUAUAUCUUCCCUUUAAACUACAAAUAUUCAUUGAGUGUAUACCCUGUAUUAGGCUGUUGGAAUAAAACAGGGAAGAAGACAGAAGAAACUGCACCGCCAUCUUAGAUCUUGCAGCCAAAUUCCUCUGAACUUUUCUCUAAAGACGUGCUCUGGAAAAAUGUUGAUCAUUUUCCUACAUCAUGGAGGUCUUUUCAUGACCACCUUUGUCUAGACAAUGUCCUGUUUUUAGGUGCACGUUUGAGGGCUGGAGUCUCUGACCCACAGUGCUGCAGCCUGCACGUGGUUUGUCCUGACUUCUUUGCUACUUCACUUUUCGUAAGGCUCUGAGAGUGCAGGCCCUUGUGGGUGGACACUGCAGGGUGAGAGGAAGAAGUAAACUACUUUUUUCCGUUUCUGAUGGGGGUGUGGGUCAGCAGCUAUAAGCAACAGGGACCAUGGGGGGCCUCAGACUUCAGCACCUGAGAGGCAGUUUCAGUCGUAUUGGGGAGAUGCAGGCAUCUGGGUUGCUGCACAUCACCAGGGCAGGGUUCUCUCAGCAGCCCUGGAGUGCAGAGUUCCCAUCAGCUCAGCAGUGAGGGGCACAUGGGGCUCCAG